GACGUAGGAUGCGAGCGUUGUCCGGAUUUAUUGGGCGUAAAGAGUUCGUAGGUGGUUUGUUAAGUCUGGUGUAAAAGGCUGGGGCUCAACCCUGGUACAGCACUGGAUACUGGCAGACUGGAGUGAAGUAGAGACAAGCGGAAUUCCCAGUGUAGCGGUGAAAUGCGUAGAUAUUGGGAAGAACACCGGUGGCGUAAGCGGCUUGUUGGGCUUUAACUGACACUGAGGAACGAAAGCUAGGGGAGCGAAUGGG
rnacentral:rRNA from 1 species